AUGGGGUUCAUCGCCAUCGGCGGCGAGGAGCUCUUGGUGACGCUUGCGCCGGUGGCCGUGUACUGGCUCUACUCCGGGAUGUACGAGGUGCUGGGGAGCAGCAAGGCCCUGGCCAAGUACAGGCUUCACUCGAGGAGGGACGAGGAGACCAAGAACAUGGCGUCCAAGAGGGACGUGGUCAAGGGCGUGCUCCUGCAGCAGGCCAUCCAGGCUGCCAUCUCAGUUGCUGUGCUCAAGCUGACAGGCGGUGAGCAAGACGGCGGCAUCGACCCCAAGUCCGGCGGUCGGAGCCAGCCGUCGACGGCGGCGGCGUCGUUCCUGGACACGGCCGCGAGGUUCGCCGUGGCCAUGGUGGUGCUGGACGCGUGGCAGUACUUCAUGCACCGGGUGAUGCACUCGAGCCGGUACAUGUACCGGCGGUUCCACUCGUGGCACCACCGCGUUGUGGCGCCCUACGCGUUCGCGGCGCAGUACAACCACCCGGUGGACGGCGUGCUCACGGAGACGCUGUCGGGCGCGGCCGCCUUCCUGGCCUCCGGGAUGGGCCCGCGCGCCGCCGCGGCCUUCUUCAUGUUCGCCACCGUGAAGGGGAUAGACGACCACUGCGGGGUGCUGGUGCCGUGGAACCCGCUCCACGCCGUCUUCCGUGACAACAACACGGCGUACCACGACGUGCACCACCAGCUCGGCGGCGGCCGCCGCAACUUCUCGCAGCCCUUCUUCGUGAUCUGGGACCGGCUGUUGGGCACGUACGCGGGCUACACCGUGGAGGAGCGCCAUGGUGGCGGCCUCCAGGUCAAGAUCAUUAAAGAUCACGCAUAG
rnacentral:rRNA from 1 species